GUGGCUCUGCAUAGAGCUAGUUGGUGCCAAAGGCAAGGAUUCAACUGGGAAUUAGUCAGUAACAAAGUGAUCUCUCAACUUGAGUAACAAAUAGUUGGUCCCCCGGCUCCUAAAGCAUUUGUACAUUACCGCAGAAGUUGUAGAGCAGCACUGCACCUAAAGAAAGAGAAUGUAGCAAGAGACAAAAACCGAAACCCACUUGUCUGUUUGACAAAGAUAUAGCAACCCUGACAUGUUUACCUCAACAACAGUUACAGAGUACAAGGCUUACGAACACAUGUUUUAAUAAGUGCGUUGAGAAACGGUACAAGGAGUCUGAACUAAAUAUGGGUGAAAAUAGUUGCAUUGAUCGCUACGUAUCAAAAUAUUGGCAUGUGACUAAUCUAAUCGGCCAGCUGCUAGGCUCAAGUCGGCCCCCAAUGUGAAAUUAAGGCUAUUCUGAAAUUUGCUCUACAUUAGUUACGUGAUUACCUGGCUGGUUGCCAAAGGUAGAUACUGGAAUGAUUUUUGCUUGUACCAAACUUUAUGAGGUGGUUCCAUUUUGUUUUUAAAAAAAAAAAGUAUUGGCGGCAAUUUGAAUUUAUGCU